AUUGAACGCUUGCGGCAGGCCUAACACAUGCAAGUCGAACGAGUGGCGGACGGGUGAGUAAUGUCUGGGAAACUGCCCGAUGGCGGGGGAUAACUACUGGAAACGGUAGCUAAUACCGCAUACCAUCGGAUGUGCCCAGAUGGGAUUAGCUAGUAGGUGGGGUAACGGCUCACCUAGGCGACGAUCCCUAGCUGGUCUGAGAGGAUGACCAGCAACACUGGAACUGAGACACGGGCCAGACUCCUACGGGAGGCAGCAGUGGGGAAUAUUGCACAAUGGGGGAAAGCCUGAUGCAGCCAUGCCGCGUGUAUGAAGAAGGCCUUCGGGUUGUAAAGUACUUUCAGCGGGGAGGCGUUACUCGCAGAAGAAGCACCGGCUAACUCCGUGCCAGCAGCCGCGGUAAUAC
rnacentral:rRNA from 1 species